rnacentral:hammerhead_ribozyme from 1 species
AUCCAGCUGACGAGUCCAGGACGAAAUGCGCAUCCUGGAU